UACGUAGGCAGCGAGCGUUGUUCGGAAUUACUGGGCGUAAAGGGUGCGUAGGCGGUUCUUUAAGUCAGGGGUGAAAUCCUGGAGCUCAACUCCAGAACUGCCUUUGAUACUGAAGAUCUUGAGUUCGGGAGAGGUGAGUGGAACUGCGAGUGUAGAGGUGAAAUUCGUAGAUAUUCGCAAGAACACCAGUGGCGAAGGCGGCUCACUGGCCCGAUACUGACGCUGAGGCACGAAAGCGUGGGGAGCAAACAGG
rnacentral:rRNA from 1 species